UUAUCACAAAGGCAAGGUAUAACUCAUCUCUUCCUUUCUCUUAAGCAAAUGACCUGAAUACCAUGAGGUAUCCACCCACACCUAAAAUUUAUCAUCCUAGUCAUCCCUGUUUUCUAUCAAGUUUUAUUCUUUGAUAAAAUCCCAUGAGCUUUCCCUUCAAAAUGGGUAGGAACAAACCUCAGAAUAUUCCAUCUUUAUGACACCACUGAAAAUGUUGAAUUCAGUUUUAGUGCUUUUGUUCAUUUAGAGAUCUGUCUGGGAUUCUCUUUGGAUCCUGCAAUGAUGGACUUGGUGUUGAAGCUGUAUUGAUCGGUUACUGAAGAAUUUUCCUCUGUUUCACAUCAUCUUCCCACUAAUGGUUCCCAGUUCAUAUUUUCUGGAAGAACCAGUAUGCAAGCAUGCUCUUUCCAAAUGGGGCUUUGGUAGCAGAUGGCAGGUCAAAUCCCUCAGGAAGUGAAGAUCAAGAAGAAAUGGUUGGAAAUUUUCCAGUUAACUCUGAGUAAUCAUGAGGUAAUCUGUAUAAUACAUAAACCCAUUCACACCACCUCUUCUCCAAAUUCCCCAGAAGCAUUAUUAAUCAGCAUGGCAAGCCGUUAAAAAAAGAAAGAAAGAAAAAGGAUGCCAGACUGUCUGGAAGGAAAGACUGAGCAAGAGGCAUGUUGCUGUAACAUGAGCAGACCAUUCUAUCAUCAAUGCAGUCCUAGAGGGCUCUGGUUUUAGCAUUUAUCAGCAUCAAGAACAUCCCAAAGUUUACUGAGCCAUGAGUGAUAGCAAAGUGAACACUUAAAUGCAAAGUAUCCGAGGAUUAUGCUGCCAAGCGUAAGAGGUUGCCAUGCUGAAUCAAGGAGUGUGCCGCAAGCACUUUGACUGCUGGUCUGUAAAACCCUACAUGCAAAUAGCCAAGGGCUGUACCAGAAGAUAAGAGCAGCAAGGCUGUGUUCAAAGGCAGGGGAGAGGAAGGUACUUAUGGCCAAGAGGAAGUCAGAUAAUGCUAACACAGCACACUUGGAAAAGCCAUUUCGUAUUACUGCAUCUGCUCUGCAGCACCUAUGGGCAGCAGAGGGAGGCAUGUUUUGUUCUCUCUUUCUUCCAAAAUAGGAAAUAAUCUGUAUUUUCAAAUUAUUUAUAUUGUCUUAAUUAAAAUUUAUAUGAAGCUUAAGACAUGUUCACUAUUAACCCAAUUUUAAUGAUAACAUAGAAGAUUGUAAUAGUCAAGAUUGAACAGUCAGUCACGUUGCUGGUAAGAGAUACCAGAACAGUGGAUCUGACUCCAAGUUCCUUUAGCACCAAGCUACAUUAAUUUCAUUAAAACUUGAGUUGCCCCGGGGUUUCUAAUCUCAGUAGUAUCUCUACUAAGUCCAAAGCCUUUUAUUUUCCAAGUCUACACUUCACCUACUAUUGAAUCUGGUGAUAGAUUUUUAUUAAAAUAAAUAUAGAUCCUUCCUUUCUAAGAAACACUGAAGUGAAAUUAUUUCUCUAUAAUGGUUCCCAUCUAGAAAAAAAAAAAAAAGCAUAUUCCUCAGACAUAAAUACUUUCUGAGCACCCACCACCUGCACCAUACUGUGUUAGCACUUGCUGAACUCACUAAAAUCUGAUAGUUUGUGGAAUUCCCAACAGCAAUAUAUUUCUCUCAAACCAACGAAAGUAGACAUUCAUAACCUUUCAGGGUUACUCAUAACCUAUUUGUGUUUACUUUUAAGAGGUGUACAGACACAAGAUUAUUCCAUUUCCUUCUGUGCUGUUCAAGGAGAGACGGUAUGAGCCCAGCUUCCGGAUGUUGAAUCAUAUGACUUGAACCAGAGGUCAGGUAAAGUGGUGGUCAACUUCAGGUUCCAACCUGCAAAACAGCCCACCUCUGGAAGCCUAGUCAUUCAGGGAGGUGAGCGUGCCAGACACCACAAACCCAGACUUGCUGGUAGAGGCCCCUCAAGCCAAACAGCAGCACAGCCAGUAAAGGGUGGUGGGAGGUAGAAAGCAAGCUCGAGGCUGGCAAGGGGGCGGAGUGAGUCACUUCUUUGAUGUGGAGUGGUUAUUACAAACACAGCAAAGGUGAGCAAGCAUUUCCUUCCCCUGACUACUGUGACUACUGGUGUAGGAAACUGAGUCAUGGGCUAGGACAGCUUUAGAGUUGCAGGAGAGGAAAAUUCUUAUUUAUAGUCUAACAUCAAUUUUACUAAGAUGCAUUUUGUCAAUCUGGUAAAUCUGCAGUCUGCCUUAUGUGGAUAAGCCAGUUUCCUACUUAUUUGCAAAAUAUUUUCUCACUGUUCUUUUCUUAGUAAAGAUGCUCUUUGAGAGUUGUAUACACUCAACCUGAUCCUUUAUAGGUAAUGAUUAUUUAAAGAAAUGCAUUCAUUUUGUAAUUUCAACACUAGGAAGGUAGAGACAGGAAGAUCAGAAGUUCAAGGUCAUCCUCAGAUAAAAGGCAAGUUCGAGGUCAGCCUCACCUAUAAAAGAACCUGUCUAAGAAAAAGGAGAUGGGAGGAAGAAAGAGAAGAAGAAAGAAAAGAACAUAAAUUCUUAACAAUACAUCCAAAAUGUUGGCUCACAUCAGUCAGAAUAAUGAUAUAAGACUUUCAGAGAAAGUAUCUGUGUGAAUUAUUGCAUUUCCUUCCCUAAGACCAGGCUUAAUAUUACCUCCUUUCAUCUCUUUUAUAAAUAUAUAUUUUAAUUUCCUAACCAGCAAAAAAAAAAAAAAUGCCUAAGUUUAAACACUAUUUACCUGAAGCAGAACAGAGCAAGAGGGUCUAUUCUGAGUAGAGUACAUUGAUUUCCUUGUUAUCGUUGGUUAAGAAUUUCAUCAAAUUGCAGGCCCUAAACUAGCCCGGUAUUUAUAAGUCAGCCAUAGUUUGGUGUUCUUAGUUUUGCCUGGCUAGGGCACUAUACUCACAGAAACGCUCUGUGAUUUUAUGAAUGAUUAUAUUUGUUACUUUUUACAUCACUGUCACAAACUUCCUAGCAGAAAGGACUUGAGGGAGGGUUUAUUUUGGCUAGGGACGGCCUGGUGUGGGGCAGGGGAGGCACAGGGCCAGGUGGUUCGCCUGCGAUAAUUGGAGUUUGCAGCAAAGCUUGCUUACAUCUUAGAAGAACAGGAAACAGCUUGUUAGAGCCAAAUACAGAGGGGAGUGCAGUUUCCAAAGACAGAGCCACUUCUGCUCACUGGGCCACAGUACCACAGGUUCCACAACCUUCUAAAACAGUGAGUUGUCUGUGGCAAUGCUGAAAUAUGUGAACCUUACCGCAACAGAGACAUCAUUUGUUUAUUUGACUUUAUUAGAAAAAGACUAGAUGUUCACUGCUGGAACCGUAUCAUCACUCCUUCCUUCCACGGUGCCACAAAAUCUUCAGUGUAAAUAAAUCACAAAUUGAAAGCUCAAAUCACAGAAGAAAAAAAAUGAUGGCUUAUAGACUUAUCCAUUUUCUUAUUAAUUGUUAAAAGUAAUAAUAGUAAUAAUGCCAGAGUCUGCUAUAGCCAUCAGGAAUAUAGCAAAACCAAAUAGGAACUCACAGGGAAAAAAAGCAACAUUUGUUUAUGUUAAUGGUGGUAAGUGCUUUUUAGCAAAACCAAUUAACAGAAGGGUAAGGAGCAGGAAGAAGGGGUGUAAUUUCAAAUGGGGUGACCUGGGAAGUCUCACUAAGAAGGUUGCAUCACAAUUACGGUAAACUUGACCCUCAGUAACUACUGAAAUCCAGAAAUUGUUCUGGACUGAUGGUGAAAUCCACAAGGUUUGAAAAUGAUCAAGUGACCUACAUGAGGACAAUUUUCUCUUGCAUUAGGAAUUAUAUCUUACCCACACCUUAUGACUCAGAAGGUAUUAAUUUUUAUCUUCCUAACUCUGGUAGCCAAAUGUUAGGAUUGAGUCAGGCAAAUAUUUCCCAAAUGAGUUGUAGAAUGUACCCUUACUCACGAUAGCACCACUAAAACCAGCAGACGUGUUCCUGGGCGGUAGAAACUUGUGUCUGAGACAUUUGCAUAUUUAGAGGUGUUUUUAUUCCUUUAAAAGAACAUGACUGAGAAUCACUUUUAUAGCUAACAAGAGCCAGAGUAACUCAUGUUAAAGAAUAGGAUUUAAUUGAUAGUUUAGAAGUUGAAAACUUCUGAGUAAAAGCUAGCCCCAAAGCAUUUCAUGGUGAAAAAAAAGUUUCAUAAUUUCCUUAAAAAUAUUCCAGAUGAUAACUGAUUGAACUUUAAAAUAUUGGCUUUGGUAUAUUUUUUUCCUCCCACGAAGAAAAUGCUUGUAAGAGCAAAAAAUCCAUUCUAAGUGGCUCUGAGGGAGUUCAUGUUUUGUUUAAGAAUUGUGGUUUCUCUUGGCUAGCAAACAUACAGAAAUAGUUUCCCUGGUGUAAAACAUUAGAAUGACAGACUCUUGUUGGGAAUGGAUAGAAAUAGACAUAAUUACAACUGUAACUACAGGGAAAAGAAGGCAAAUGAUCAAACAUUUAUUGGGCUUAAGCACAGUAAAUUGUCAACUCCAAAAAUCAUGAUUUGUUUAAUAAAAGUCAAUACCACUGCAUUCAUGUCCAAAUCUAGAGAAAAGAGACUUGGAGCCAGAUUGGUACACUGGGAGUUUGUUGGCACUGCUGCUGAGAGGGACGAGCCCGAGAAAAUGAAAGUAGAACUUGGCAAACAAGAAUGGAUCCUGCAGUUCAGUAGUCCAAAGCCAACAGCCAGUCCCUUGUAGAAUUUUGAAGGUGGGAUGACACUUCAACAUUCUGCUCAGCUGAGACAAGCGGUUCCCUUUGACCAAAGGCAUAUCUGAGGCUGGGAAUUUAUCCGUGACUUGUUACCAGCCAAUGUGGCAGCCAGGACAUGAAUUCCAUGGCUGUGAAAGAGAACUUGGAAGACCUCAGCAUCUGCAGCAGACAGUACGGCUUCAUCUCUGAUACAAGAAUGGUGAAAGAUGCACGGACUUCACUGUGUCGCUGCAUAGGUUGGAGUGUGGGGUGGCAUGCCCUUUCAAAACUGAAAAUCUGGAACCACAUUGCAGUCUGCGUGUUUAUUAAAGGCAGGUACAGCUAGCAACCCCACUUGGUCUGGUACAAAAGGAAACGCAGGUUCUCUUGUUCAAAAGGAGGAAGAAAGAUGCUGCUGAUGGUCCCAAGGCAUACAUUUUCUAUUCCUUCUUGAUGGGUGCUCUACAUUUUAGGAUGUUUCAUUUGCUAUUUAAUGCUGUUCUAGAUAAGAAAAUUUUACUUUAAAAUCGCAUUUAGGAUUUGUGCUAAGUGAGGUAUAAUCUGAUCUUACCAGAAAACUGAACAAGGAAGCUGUGUGAAGAGUAGAGAGGGGGGUGGGAGACAAACAAACAAAAAGGUGUGUAAGAGUAGGGGGUGGGAACAGACAGGUAUGUUAACUUUAUUCAUACGGUGAUUUUUUUUUUACUUUCUAUACAUAAUCUGCAAUAUUUUUUACAUGCCUUAAAUACACACAAAAAUAAUUUUUAAAAUUCAUGUAUAAAAGGCAGACAGCUCGUAUAGGCUUGUGCAUUUUAUUCUUGCUUGAACAGGGAAAGUGGAUGUUUAGUCAAUUGUUGUAUUUAGUGUCCUCAUAGAAUCAUAUUUUACUAGUACUCUCUCCUUUCAACUUUGUAAUUAAAUGUGGACUUAAAAGCAACUCUGGAUUGUCAUAGCUCUUCCUUUCCUUUCUUGCCAUAAUUUUUAGUGUAAAUGUCUGGCUUGUAUGCAGACAACACAAGCACAGACAGAUAUGAUAGUGUUUCUAGGGUACUAUGUGUGCAUGUUUUUCCUAACUGUGGAUGUACUGUGUCCAUCCAUCCUUCAUUACCAAGACUAUGCCCUCAAACUAUGAGCCAAAAUAAAUGCUUCCUGCCUUAA